rnacentral:rRNA from 1 species
GACGAACGCUGGCGGCGUGCUUAACACAUGCAAGUCGAACGAAGAGCGACGGAAGCUUGCUUCUAUCAAUCUUAGUGGCGAACGGGUGAGUAACGCGUAAUCAACCUGCCCUUCAGAGGGGGACAACAGUUGGAAACGACUGCUAAUACCGCAUACGAUCUAAUCUCGGCAUCGAGGAUGGAUGAAAGGUGGCCUCUACAUGUAAGCUAUCACUGAAGGAGGGGAUUGCGUCUGAUUAGCUAGUUGGAGGGGUAACGGCCCACCAAGGCGAUGAUCAGUAGCCGGUCUGAGAGGAUGAACGGCCACAUUGGGACUGAGACACGGCCCAGACUCCUACGGGAGGCAGCAGUGGGCAAUCUUCCGCAAUGGACGAAAGUCUGACGGAGCAACGCCGCGUGAGUGAUGACGGCCUUCGGGUUGUAAAGCUCUGUUAAUCGGGACGAAAGGCCUUCUUGCGAAUAGUGAGAAGGAUUGACGGUACCGGAAUAGAAAGCCACGGCCAACUACGUG